rnacentral:tRNA from 1 species
UGCGGAUGUGGCGGAAUUGGUAUACGCGCACGCUUGAGGGGCGUGUGGCCUUGGCCUUGCGAGUUCGAGUCUCGCCAUCCGCAU